CACACGUGAGGCAUGGGAUCGUCCGGGAGAAAUCCGGGCAAUUCCGCCGGUGGCAGGUCCGAAGGAUCUGCUGUUCGCCUUGCGGAGGUUCAACCGGAAAAGGAGAAAAAGG
rnacentral:sRNA from 1 species